AGUGAACGCUGGCGGUAGGCCUAACACAUGCAAGUCGAACGGCAGCACAGUAAGAGCUUGCUCUUACGGGUGGCGAGUGGCGGACGGGCGAGGAAUACAUCGGAAUCUACUUUUUCGUGGGGGAUAACGUAGGGAAACUUACGCUAAUACCGCAUACGACCUACGGGUGAAAGCAGGGGAUCUUCGGACCUUGCGCGAUUGAAUGAGCCGAUGUCGGAUUAGCUAGUUGGCGGGGUAAAGGCCCACCAAGGCGACGAUCCGUAGCUGGUCUGGGAGGAUGAUCAGCCACACUGGAACUGAGACACGGUCCAGACUCCUACGGGAGGCAGCAGUGGGGAAUAUUGGACAAUGGGCGCAAGCCUGAUCCAGCCAUACCGCGUGGGUGAAGAAGGCCUUCGGGUUGUAAAGCCCUUUUGUUGGGAAAGAAAAGCAGCAGGUUAAUACCCCGCUGUUCUGACGGUACCCAAAGAAUAAGCACCGGCUAACUUCGUG
rnacentral:rRNA from 1 species